UUAUGGUCAUAUCAAGCUGAAACACCGGUUCUCCUAUGAUCACCGAAGUUGAGUACCGUCGAGCCUGGUUAGUUCCAAGAUGGGUAACCGCUCGAGAAUAUAAGGUGCUGUAA